AUUGAACGCUGGCGGCAGGCCUAACACAUGCACGUCGAACGAGUGGCGGACGGGUGAGUAAUGUCUGGGAAACUGCCUGAUGGAGGGGGAUAACUACUGGAAACGGUAGCUAAUACCGCAUACCAUCGGAUGUGCCCAGAUGGGAUUAGCUAGUAGGUGGGGUAACGGCUCACUUAGGCGACGAUCCCUAGCUGGUCUGAGAGGAUGACAAGCGAAAAUGGAACUUAGACACGGUCGAGACUCCAACGGGAGGCAGCAGUGGAGAAGAUUGCACAAUGGGCGCAAGCCUGCUGCAGCAAUGCCGCGUGUAUGAAGAAGGCUUUCGGGUUGUAAAGUACUUUCAGCGGGGAGGCGUUACCCGCAGAAGAAGCACCGGCUAAAUCCGUGCCAGCAGCCGCGGUAAUAC
rnacentral:rRNA from 1 species